rnacentral:rRNA from 1 species
UACGUAGGGUGCGAGCGUUGUCCGGAUUCAUUGGGCGUAAAGGGUGCGUAGGCGGCGCGGUAAGUCGGGUGUGAAAUCUUGGAGCUUAACUCCGAAACUGCAUUCGAUACUGCCGUGCUUGAGGACUGGAGAGGAGACUGGAAUUUACGGUGUAGCGGUGAAAUGCGUAGAUAUCGGAAGGAAGACCAGUGGCGAAGGCGGGUCUCUGGACAGUUCCUGACGCUGAGGCACGAAGGCCAGGGGAGCAAACGGG